rnacentral:tRNA from 1 species
GAUUGUGAAUCUAAAGUUAGAGAUUAGUCUCCUBUUAUCUACC